AUUGAACGCUGGCGGCAGGCCUAACACAUGCAAGUCGAGCGAGUGGCGGACGGGUGAGUAAUGUCUGGGAAACUGCCCGAUGGAGGGGGAUAACUACUGGAAACGGUAGCUAAUACCGCAUACCAUCGGAUGUGCCCAGAUGGGAUUAGCUAGUAGGUGGGGUAACGGCUCACCUAGGCGACGAUCCCUAGCUGGUCUGAGAGGAUGACCAGCCAAACUGGACCUGAGAAACGGUCCAAACUCCGACGGGAGGCAGAAGUGGGGAAGAUUGAACAAUGGGCGAAAGCCUGAUGAAGCCAUGCCGAGUGUAUGAAGAAGGCCUUCGGGUUGUAAAGUACUUUCAGCGAGGAGGCGUUACUCGCAGAAGAAGCACCGGCUAACUCCGUGCCAGCAGCCGCGGUAAUA
rnacentral:rRNA from 1 species